GGGUUGUGAGGUUAAGCGACUAAGCGUACACGGUGGAUGCCCUGGCAGUCAGAGGCGAUGAAGGACGUGCUAAUCUGCGAUAAGCGCCGGUAAGGUGAUAUGAACCGUUAUAACCGGCGAUUUCCGAAUGGGGAAACCCAGUGUGACUCGUCACACUAUCAUUAACUGAAUCCAUAGGUUAAUGAGGCGAACCGGGGGAACUGAAACAUCUAAGUACCCCGAGGAAAAGAAAUCAACCGAGAUUCCCCCAGUAGCGGCGAGCGAACGGGGAGGAGCCCAGAGCCUGAAUCAGCAUGUGUGUUAGUGGAAGCGUCUGGAAAGGCGCGCGAUACAGGGUGACAGCCCCGUACACAAAAGCGCAUGUGCUGUGAGCUCGAUGAGUAGGGCGGGACACGUGGUAUCCUGUCUGAAUAUGGGGGGACCAUCCUCCAAGGCUAAAUACUCCUGACUGACCGAUAGUGAACCAGUACCGUGAGGGAAAGGCGAAAAGAACCCCGGCGAGGGGAGUGAAAAAGAACCUGAAACCGUGUACGUACAAGCAGUGGGAGCACCCUUUGGGGUGUGACUGCGUACCUUUUGUAUAAUGGGUCAGCGACUUAUAUUCUGUAGCAAGGUUAACCGAAUAGGGGAGCCGGAGGGAAACCGAGUCUUAAU
rnacentral:rRNA from 3 species